rnacentral:rRNA from 1 species
CCCUUAGAUGCUCUGGGCCGCACGCGCGCUACACUGGUCGAUGCAACGAGUUUCUUUCCUUGGCCGACAGGCCUGGGCAAUCUUUGAACAUCGAUCGUGAUCGGGAUAGAUUCUUGUAAUUUUUGAUCUUAAACGAGGAAUUCCUAGUAAACGCAAGUCAUCAGCUUGCAUUGAUUACGUCCCUGCCCUUUGUACACACCGCCCGUCGCACCUACCGAUUGAAUGGUCCGGUGAAGCGUUCGGACCGUGGCCUUUGGACGGUUCGCCGUCUGUUGGCUGCGGGAAGUUCGUUAAACCUUAUCAUUUAGAGGAAGGAGAAGUCGUANCA